GAGUUUGAUCAUGGCUCAGGACGAACGCUGGCGGCGUGCUUAACACAUGCAAGUCGAGCGAUGAGAUCACUUCGGUGAAGGAUUAGCGGCGAACGGGUGAGGAACACGUGAAGAAUCUGCCUUCAACUCUGGGAUAACUCCGGGAAACCGGGGCUAAUACCGGAUAUGAGCCUUGAUCGCAUGAUCGGGGCUGGAAAGUUUUUCGGUUGAAGAUGACUUCGCGGCCUAUCAGCUUGUUGGUGAGGUAAUGGCUCACCAAGGCGACGACGGGUAGCCGGCCUGAGAGGGCGACCGGCCACACUGGGACUGAGACACGGCCCAGACUCCUACGGGAGGCAGCAGUGGGGAAUAUUGGGCAAUGGAGGAAACUCUGACCCAGCGACGCCGCGUGCGGGAUGAAGGCCUUCGGGUUGUAAACCGCUUUCAGCAGGGAAUAAGCGCAAGUGAAGGUACCUGCAGAAGAAGCACCGGCUAACUAUGUGCCAGCAGCCGCGGUAAUACAUAGGGUGCAAGCGUUGUCCGGAAUUAUUGGGCGUAAAGAGCUCGUAGGUGGUUUGUUACGUCGGUUGUGAAAUUCAGGGGCUCAACCCCUGACUUGCAGCCGAUACGGGCAAGCUAGAGUUUGGUAGGGGAGACUGGAAUUCCUGGUGUAGCGGUGGAAUGCGCAGAUAUCAGGAGGAACACCGAUGGCGAAGGCAGGUCUCUGGGCCAAUACUGACACUGAGGAGCGAAAGCGUGGGGAGCGAACAGGAUUAGAUACCCUGGUAGUCCACGCCGUANACGGUGGGCGCUAGUUGUGCGAACCUUCCACGGUUUGUGCGACGCAGCUAACGCAUUAAGCGCCCCGCCUGGGGAGUACGAUCGNCAGAUUAAAACUCAAAGGAAUUGACGGGGCCCCGCACAAGCAGCGGAGCAUGCGGCUUAAUUCGACGCA
rnacentral:rRNA from 1 species